UAACUAAUAACUCAGAGGUAGAGUGAAAGACUGAAAAUCUUUAUAUCAAUGGUUCAAGACCAUUUUAGUUAU
rnacentral:tRNA from 1 species